rnacentral:rRNA from 1 species
UACGUAGGGCGCAAGCGUUGUCCGGAAUUAUUGGGCGUAAAGAGCUCGUAGGCGGCCUGUUGCGCCCGCUGUGAAAUCCCGGGGCUCAACCCCGGGCGUGCAGUGGAUACGGGCUGGCUGGAGGCAGGCAGGGGAGAACGGAAUUCCUGGUGUAGCGGUGAAAUGCAUUGAGAUCGGAAAGAACACCAACGGCGAAAGCACUCUGCUGGGCCGACACUGACACUGAGAGACGAAAGCUAGGGGAGCAAAUGGG